rnacentral:misc_RNA from 1 species
AAGUCGUAACAAGGUUUCCGUAGGUGAACCUGCGGAAGGAUCAUUAAAGAGUGUCGAGCUUCACAGCUCUUAUUCUCACCCUUUGUAUAUCAAACUUGUUGCUUUGGCAGGCGCCUUUAGGGCCUGCCAGAGGACCCGGAAACCCUAGAAUCUCUGCCGUCUGAGUCACUAAUAUAAUAGUUAAAA